GAUGAACGCUAGCGGCAGGCCUAAUACAUGCAAGUCGAACGGUAUGAUUCCUUCGGGGAUUAGAGAGUGGCGCACGGGUGCGUAACGCGUAUGCAACCUGCCCCAUACAGGGGGAUAGCCCGGAGAAAUCUGGAUUAAUACCCCAUGGCACCAUGACGGGGCAUUCCGUUAUGGUUAAAGAUUCAUCGGUAUGGGAUGGGCAUGCGUCUGAUUAGCUGGUUGGGGGUGUAACGGACCACCAAGGCGACGAUCAGUAGGGGUUCUGAGAGGAAGGUCCCCCACACUGGCACUGAGAUACGGGCCAGACUCCUACGGGAGGCAGCAGUAGGGAAUAUUGGGCAAUGGACGGGAGUCUGACCCAGCCAUGCCGCGUGCAGGAAGACGGCGUUCUGCGUUGUAAACUGCUUUUAUCUGGGAAGAAAAGGCCCAUGCGUGGGACAUUGCCGGUACCAGAUGAAUAAGCACCGGCUAACUCCGUGCCAGCAGCCGCAGUAAUAC
rnacentral:rRNA from 1 species